rnacentral:rRNA from 1 species
AUUGAACGCUGGCGGCAGGCUUAACACAUGCAAGUCGAACGAGUGGCGGACGGGUGAGUAAUGCUUUGGAAUCUAGCUUAUGGACGGGGAUAACUACGGGAAACUGUAGCUAAUACCGCGUACCAUAGCCUGAGCCCAAGUGGGAUUAUCUAGUUGGUGAGGUAAUGGCUCACCAAGGCGACGAUCCCUGGCUGGUCUGAGAGGAUGAUCAGCAACACUGGGACUGAGACACGGCCCAGAAUCCUACGGGAGGCAGCAGUGGGGAAUAUUGAACAAUAGGCGCAAGCCUGAUGCAGCCAUGCCGCGUGUAUGAAGAAGGCCCUAGGGUUGUAAAGUACUUUCAGUCGGGAGGCGUUACCGUCAGAAGAAGCACCGGCUAACUCCGUGCCAGCAGCCGCGGUAAUUC